GGCAGAGAUAUGCUACCAUAUGGAUCAAUAUUAAAUGGUUAUAAUUUCAAAGACAUUGUGUUUGACGGACAUAAUCAUUAUGAUACCAGGGUAAACUAUUACUGAUUAAAAGCUUAUUUCUAACAGUGUCCUCUUAAAAGUAUAUGGAACAAAGAUGUUAUUGAGGAAUUAAAUAAUAUUCCUUGAGUACUAUUAGGUUUCCAGAUGAAUACGACGUGAAAAGCAUUCUUCACAAGUGUGAAAGCUGGUUGCUGACGGAACUCGAGUUUAAGGAGGCGGAAGUCUAUCCUCAAUAGUCAGCGUUGACAACGAUGUGGCAUACCUGAUACAAUGUUUCUAUUAUGGCGAAAUCUAUCACAUAGAAAACUUGCAUAAGAAAUCACUCGACAGUAUCCUACCGUAUAAACCUGAAAGGUACGUCAAAAACAAACAUUAUAUGAAACUGCCAGAGAAAAAAAAAUGUGAACUGACAGAAACGAGACUGUUGACAAUUGAAAAAGAUGUGCGCCAAAAAACCACGAAGGAUAGUAACAGUAGAUGGUUCACUGAUAAAUGUGAAACAAAUCUGUUUCAGUAGAAAACAGUAUGGGUGUCUGUUUGUUUGCGUGAGGUGACUUACAAAGGUCCACUCGUGCUGUUACUAUCAGUGUUUUGUUCAGUUAAAUUUUUGAUAAAAUAGUUACAUUAUCAAAACAUCUCUAUUAGACUUUAUAGAUAUAUUGAAUCAGAUGUAAUCAAUUUUAUUUGACAUGAUCUGAAUAAAGUGUUUAAUAAAUAAACCAGAUUGAACGACUUUCAUGAUACUAUAGAAUAUUCACAGAUUACGCUUAGUUGUUAAAAUUUUUAAAAGAAAAUCAAUAAAUCGUAUAUGAUUAAUUUUAUGGAUAUACAUAAUCAAAUCCUAUCAAUUAUAAUCAUAUUUUACACACUAAGCCUUCAUACCUGAUCCGUUUGCGAAACAUUGGCGGAUAUCUAAAACUAACUAUGAUGACAUACUUUUGGGUACUAGUAUCUUUGAAAUAGGCCUAAUUGUUCGGAAAGUUCUAACAGUUCCAUGAUCAUCACGCAUGUGACUUGUACAUGUAUCAUAAACCUACAACUCUAGAUGUACGCAUCAUAUAUCAAAGUAGCUAAUGUAUAUUACACAUGUAUUUGACAUUGUAGGAAUUAAUGUACUAAACAAGCAUGCAAAAAUAAAUAAUAAAUCUGAUAUAU
rnacentral:misc_RNA from 1 species